UAGGGAAUCUUCCGCAAUGGGCGAAAGCUUGACGGAGCAACGCCGCGUGAGUGAUGAAGGUCUUCGGAUCGUAAAACUCUGUUAUUAGGGAAGAACAAAUGUGUAAGUAACUAUGCACGUCUUGACGGUACCUAAUCAGAAAGCCACGGCUAACUACGUGCCAGCAGCCGCGGUAAUACUUAGGUGGCAAGCGUUAUCCGGAAUUAUUGGGCGUAAAGCGCGCGUAGGCGGUUUUUUAAGUCUGAUGUGAAAGCCCACGGCUCAACCGUGGAGGGUCAUUGGAAACUGGAAAACUUGAGUGCAGAAGAGGAAAGUGGAAUUCCAUGUGUAGCGGUGAAAUGCGCAGAGAUAUGGAGGAACACCAGUGGCGAAGGCGACUUUCUGGUCUGUAACUGACGCUGAUGUGCGAAAGCGUGGGGAUCAAACAGG
rnacentral:rRNA from 1 species